rnacentral:rRNA from 1 species
CUCUGCGGCCAUGCCACCCUGAACAAGCCCGAUCCUGUCUGAUCUCAGAAGCUAAGCAGGGUCAGGCCUGGUUAGUAUUUGGAUGAGAGAUCACCUAGGAAGACCAGGUGCUGGGCGU